rnacentral:lncRNA from 1 species
GUCCCCAAUUGCAGAAUAACGUGAAAACGGCGCUCGGUCAAAAAGUUCUCUCUUCAUCCCCAUCAGAAGAGGUUUCAGGAGCCAAUAAGGAAUUCUGCGGUUGGAAGAUCACAAAUACCCGUGACCUUUGAUCAUCACAUAUGGCGAACUCAAACUCAGGUACGCUUCCGCUUAUGAUUAUGAUUAUGUUUUAUUUCUUAAUGAUUAACAUGAUCGACUCUAGGGUUUAUGAA